CCUACGGGCGGCAGCAGUGAGGAAUAUUGGUCAAUGGACGCAAGCCUGAACCAGCCAAGUCGCGUGAGGGAUGACGGUCCUAUGGAUUGUAAACCUCUUUUGUCGGGGAGCAAGGCCCGCCACGUGUGGCGGGAAGGAGAGUACCCGAAGAAAAAGCAUCGGCUAACUCCGUGCCAGCAGCCGCGGUAAUACGGAGGAUGCGAGCGUUAUCCGGAUUUAUUGGGUUUAAAGGGUGCGCAGGCGGCCUGUUAAGUCAGCGGUAAAAGCCCGGGGCUCAACCCCGGCGAGCCGUUGAAACUGGCGGGCUGGAGUUGGAGAGAAGUACGCGGAAUGCGCGGUGUAGCGGUGAAAUGCUUAGAUAUCGCGCAGAACCCCGAUUGCGAAGGCAGCGUACCGGCUCCACACUGACGCUGAGGCACGAAAGCGUGGGUAUCGAACAGGAUUAGAUACCCGAGUAGUC
rnacentral:rRNA from 1 species